GGAACUCCCCAACCAUUAUUAUUAUUAUUAUUAUUAUUUUGUCUUUUUUGCCAUUUCUUGGGCCGCUCCUGCAGCAUAUGGAGGUUCCCAGGCUAGGGGUCGAAUCGGAGCUGUAGCCGCCAGCCUACACCACAGCCACAGCAAUGCCAGAUCCAAGCCACAUCUGCAACCUACACCACAGCUCACGGCAACACCAGAUCCUUAACUCAUUGAGCAAGGGUAGGGAUCAAACCCACAACCUCAUGGUUCUUAGUCAGAUUCGUUAACCACUGAGCCACGACGGGAACGCCAAACCACUAUUUUUAAAAAGACUUCUAAAGUUUGAGUAUUUUUGAAAGCACAGAAUCAUUUUUAAAUGUUUUAGCUGUUUACUAAUGGCAAGGACUAUUUUCUUCCUCCUUUUAGUCUUAUCAAAAAUAUCAUUCGGAGUUUCUCAAAUGCUUCAACAUGGAUUCAAGUUUUCCUUAAAGAGGGAUGACCUUGUGAUCAUAUGAUAUUUCAGCGAUCAUAUCUGAUUUUUUAUUUUUUGCCACUUGCAAAAAAUUUGCACUUGUCUUGCUCAAGCAGUUUGAAGCUUGGAACAAAUGGAGAGAAAGCAUGAUUUUCAGUGAAAUCACUGGUGGAGUCCAGGACCUCACACUGUCUAUACUCUAGAACUUUUCUGCCUUCCUCCCAGCCAGCAUGGUCUGCCAGCCAAUCCUGCUUUGGGGAUUAACACGACAACAUCAGGAAACAAAGGAUUCCAUCUUGUUGGACAAAGAGCAGUGUGGUUUCUCUCCCAAACCAGAUUUCCAAUCUUGACACAAGAUUUCCACGGCUCUGCUGGGAAUUCCUCCCAGCUAAGUCCUGAGUCAGUUAUUUUCUGGUAGGAAUGCAAACAGCACGCUGGCGAAAUUUUUCUUUCUGUUUUCAGUGAAUUUCGUUCUCUAGCUAGAUUAAGAUCUUUGGUUACAUCACAUCUCCAACUGGCAGAGGACCAGUCCUGAUUUUUCAAAGAGAACAUUGUCCUGGAGAAGAGUUUCAAGAAUGGAUAUCGUUUUUCCUAGAGCAGCUGUUGGAAGGCUGGAAGGUUGGACACAAAGGAGGGUUUUCCAGCAGAUCCUGGUUGCUGAGUGGCUGUGAUGAUGUCCCGCCCUGGGGGAUGUUAAGUCAGGUGGCGCUCACCAUGCCCACUGAGCUGGCCUUGGGCUGUGAGGUUGUGCAAGACACCGUCAGCCACAGCCCUGAAAGGAGGGUGACAACGAGGACCCAGCCUGCAGAGCCAUGGCAGAGACAAAGUUCCGAGGUGACACGCUGCCCAAGGAUGCUGGGGCAGGUACCUGUCAGCAGGUAAACCUGUGAAUCCCUCAUUUCCUUUUCAGGGUCAUUAGUCUGGCCCUGCCUUAGCCUCUGGGCUCCAGGACCAUAAAGGCGGCCGCUGACCUGGGACCAGGAAGGUGCUCCUUCCCAGUUAACACGAGGUCUUCUUGAAUGCUACCCUUGCAGCGAAAGACAGCGCCACGGCCACCCUGGAUUCUCUCCUCAUGCUCACCUGUAAGGAGCAUCCUUUGUUUCUAUUUUCAGAAUGUACCUCGACUC
rnacentral:lncRNA from 9 species